ACCACCCUUUAAUGGCUGGUGUUCUAACGUGGACCCGUUACCCGGGUUGCGGACAGUGUCUGGUGGGUAGUUUGACUGGGGCGGUCUCCUCCCAAAGAGUAACGGAGGAGCACGAAGGUUGGCUAAUCCUGGUCGGACAUCAGGAGGUUAGUGCAAUGGCAUAAGCCAGCUUGACUGCGAGCGUGACGGCGCGAGCAGGUGCGAAAGCAGGUCAUAGUGAUCCGGUGGUUCUGAAUGGAAGGGCCAUCGCUCAACGGAUAAAAGGUACUCCGGGGAUAACAGGCUGAUACCGCCCAAGAGUUCAUAUCGACGGCGGUGUUUGGCACCUCGAUGUCGGCUCAUCACAUCCUGGGGCUGAAGUAGGUCCCAAGGGUAUGGCUGUUCGCCAUUUAAAGUGGUACGCGAGCUGGGUUUAGAACGUCGUGAGACAGUUCGGUCCCUAUCUGCCGUGGGCGCUGGAGAAUUGAGGGGGGCUGCUCCUAGUACGAGAGGACCGGAGUGGACGCAUCACUGGUGUUCGGGUUGUCAUGCCAAUGGCACUGCCCGGUAGCUAAAUGCGGAAGAGAUAAGUGCUGAAAGCAUCUAAGCACGAAACUUGCCCC
rnacentral:rRNA from 1 species